UGUCGUCAGCUCGUGCCGUGAGGUGUUGGGUUAAGUCCCGCAACGAGCGCAACCCCUAUGUUUAGUUGCCAGCACGUAAUGGUGGGGACUCUAGACAGACUGCCUGCGCAAGCAGAGAGGAAGGAGGGGACGACGUCAAGUCAUCAUGGCCCUUACGCCCAGGGCGACACACGUGCUACAAUGGCGCAUACAGCGGGUCGCAAGCCGGUAACGGUAAGCCAACCUCUAAAAGUGCGUCUCAGUUCGGAUUGAGGUCUGCAACUCGACCUCAUGAAGCUGGAAUCGCUAGUAAUCGCGCAUCAGCCAUGGCGCGGUGAAUACG
rnacentral:rRNA from 1 species